AACGAACGCUGGCGGCAUGCCUAACACAUGCAAGUCGAACGAGAUCUUCGGGUCUAGUGGCGCACGGGUGCGUAACGCGUGGGAAUCUGCCCUUUGGUUCGGAAUAACAGUUGGAAACGACUGCUAAUACCGGAUGAUGACGAAAGUCCAAAGAUUUAUCGCCAGAGGAUGAGCCCGCGUAGGAUUAGCUAGUUGGUGUGGUAAAGGCGCACCAAGGCGACGAUCCUUAGCUGGUCUGAGAGGAUGAUCAGCCACACUGGGACUGAGACACGGCCCAGACUCCUACGGGAGGCAGCAGUGGGGAAUAUUGGACAAUGGGCGAAAGCCUGAUCCAGCAAUGCCGCGUGAGUGAUGAAGGCCUUAGGGUUGUAAAGCUCUUUUACCAGGGAUGAUAAUGACAGUACCGGGAGAAUAGGCUCCGGCUAACUCCGUGCCAGCAGCCGCCGUAA
rnacentral:rRNA from 1 species